GACGAACGCUGGCGGCGUGCUUAACACAUGCAAGUCGAACGGUGAAGCGCCUUCCUUUUUGGUGGGUGUGGAUGAGUGGCGAACGGGUGAGUAGCACGUGAGUAACCUGCCCCCUUCUUCUGGAUAACCGCAUGAAAGUGUUGCUAAUACUGGAUAUUCUGGGUCUGUCGCAUGAUGGGUCUGGGAAAGAUAUUGUUUCGGUUGGGGAUGGGCUCGCGGCCUAUCAGCUUGUUGGUGGGGUGAUGGCCUACCAAGGCGGUGACGGGUAGCCGGGCUGAGAGGGUAGGAGGGCAAACUGGGACGGGGACGAGGGACAGACUCGUACGGGAGGCAGGAGUGGGGAGUAGUGCACAGUGGGAGGAAGGAUGAUGCAGCGACGCGGCGUGGGGGAGGGAGGGCGGCGGGUUGUGAACCACUUUCGCGAGGGAAGGAGGGAAGCCUCGUUUGUGGGUGGGUUGACGGUAGCUGGAGAAGAAGCGCCGGCUAACUACGUG
rnacentral:rRNA from 1 species